rnacentral:lncRNA from 1 species
CCCCGGAGCUCUGCGCUCGCUGCCGUGGCCCCCGGGACAUCCAGCCUGAAGGAGAGUGGGGCAGGAAUUUUUCCGGGGCAAGACGCUUCAGCCUGGGAAGGCUGACCGCUCCCGAGCCGCUCGCAGGCCCCCAGAGUUGGGAGGAGAGCAGUCCAGACUACAGAAAAAGUAUGGACAGAGGCGUGGAGAGGAGGCAGUCAGCAAGUUCUUGUAACCGGCCCAUUUGGAAUUAGAGACCAUCCUGAUCCUCACCAAUCCCCACGGAGUCUCCACUCCUCUAGUGGGAAUCCAGAGACUGGAGGCCAGCCUAUUCCAAAAUCCCACCACUGCCAGCCUGCAAUUCCAUCUGCCACUCCUCUGAAUGAAAGCACUGUUGUCUCCUGAAGGUCCCAGAGGGACACAAUAAAUGGAGAAGGUA